rnacentral:rRNA from 1 species
CCUACGGGUGGCAGCAGUGGGGAAUAUUGGACAAUGGGGGCAACCCUGAUCCAGCCAUGCCGCGUGUGUGAAGAAGGCCCUCGGGUUGUAAAGCACUUUCAGUGAGGAAGAACGCCUGGUGGUUAAUACCCAUCAGGAAAGACAUCACUCACAGAAGAAGCACCGGCUAACUCCGUGCCAGCAGCCGCGGUAAUACGGAGGGUGCGAGCGUUAAUCGGAAUUACUGGGCGUAAAGCGCGCGUAGGUGGCUUGAUAAGCCGGUUGUGAAAGCCCCGGGCUCAACCUGGGAACGGCAUCCGGAACUGUCGAGCUAGAGUGCAGGAGAGGAAGGAAGAAUUCCCGGUUUAGCGGUGAAAUGCGUAGAGAGCGGGAGGAAUACCAGUGGCGAAGGCGGCCUUCUGGACUGACACUGACACUGUGGUGCGAAAGCGUGGGUAGCAAACAGGCUUAGAUACCCGGGUAGUC